rnacentral:lncRNA from 1 species
CUUUUUCUUCCCCACCACGCAGAGGUUGUAUGAGGUUUUGAGACAGUGCAGAAGGAGAGAAGUGGUGUGGGGACUGAGGCAUUGCACCAUGAAACGAGCCAGUUGACAGACAAGGCUCUGUGUUAUCAAUCAGCAUGACUGAGUCUCAGCUAAGAGUUUAUAGCAGCAGGAACAGUUUCAGAUGCAACGUCAAUGUCCUUUGCAGGCCCCUGUGAACUCUGGAUGAAAAAGAAGAAGAAAUCCAAAUCCACAGCAGCACAUUGUUGGCAUGUUAUUCUGGGCUUCAUUUUCAGCUUUAAAAGCUUUUCCUCAGUGCUGCCUGCCAGAAUGAGACACAUGCAAACAGGACUGAAACCCACACCUGGGAGUCGCACAUGCAUGACCACUGAAAAGUUCAGACUCUGCGUCGAACAAAGCAUACCCUUGGCUCAUUGAAGUUGCGCCAGGAAAAGGGCACGGUUUAGCUGGCAGUGUAGUCACAGCCAGAAAAUGUUUAAAAGACACUAAGAAUUCAGACAGACACAUUCCUUACAUUCUUAAGUUCAACUUCUCUUAACAGAUAAAUAAAGAUGAGACUGCAUUUGAUUGGUCCUCCACUUGUACCCAGUAACUCUGCUUAUCUAGAUUACACACUGAGCUGAUAUUGCAAUCUUCUCUUGUCUGUCCUGUUUGCUCUCUAGGCGAGGAACAUGAGUGUGUGCACUCAAGCUAAGCUUAAGAAAAGUCAGGCAGUGCUAUCUUUCCCACUUCCAGAAGUGCUUGGAUGGGUUGCAUGCAAGAGGCAACUGACGCUUAGCUUACUGUUUAGAAGGCCAUCGGGGAUGUCAGGGGUAGGUAUAAAUUGGGGAGAGGCUGCCAAGUCGAAAGGGAGGGGCAAUGACUUUGCACACUAUGUGUAAGUACUGACACAGAGGGUGGUGUGCAUCUCCCACUUUGCCAGGGGAAGCUGUAUUGUCUAAAACCACUACAUUUUAAGUGUUAAUACCAUGUGUCAGUGUAGCCUGUAAGUUACUCAAGGCUGGAAACUAUGUUUUAAUUCUUUACCCAGUUAUCCUAUUUUGAUUAUAUAUGUAUAUGUGAAUCUGUGUGUAGGUAUGUGCAUACGAG